rnacentral:pre_miRNA from 1 species
UGUGUGUGUGUGUGUGUGUGUGUGUGUGUGUGUGUGUGUGUGUUACGCGCGUGGGCGCGCAUCCACACACC